rnacentral:rRNA from 1 species
GAUCCUGGCUUAGGAUGAACGCUAGCGGCAGGCUUAACACAUGCAAGUCGAGGGGCAUCGGGAGUAGCAAUACUGCCGGCGACCGGCGCAAGGGUGCGUAACGCGUGAGCAACAUGCCCGUAUCAGGGGGAUAAUCCAUGGAAACGUGGUCUAAUACCCCAUAGUAAUUAUGUAAGGCAUCUUAUAUAAUUUAAAGCUUUGGUGGAUACGGAUUGGCUCGCGUGACAUUAGCUAGAUGGUAAGGUAACGGCUUACCAUGGCUACGAUGUCUAGGGGUUCUGAGAGGAAGGUCCCCCACACUGGAACUGAGACACGGUCCAGACUCCUACGGGAGGCAGCAGUGAGGAAUAUUGGACAAUGGAUGGAAAUCUGAUCCAGCCAUGCCGCGUGCAAGGAAGACGGCCCUAUGGGUUGUAAACUGCUUUUGUAUGGGAGCAAUAAGGGCUACGCGUAGUCCGAUGAGAGUACCAUACGAAUAAGCACCGGCUAACUCCGUGCCAGCAGCCGC